rnacentral:tRNA from 1 species
UCCCUAGUAGCUCAGCUGGUGAAGAAUCUGCCUGCAAUGCAGGAGACCCUGGGUUCAAUUCCUGGGUUGGGAA